UACGUAGGGUGCGAGCGUUAUCCGGAAUUAUUGGGCGUAAAGAGCUCGUAGGCGGUGUGUCACGUCGUUCGUGAAAACCUGCAGCUUAACUGUGGGCGUGCGGUCGAUACGGGCAUCACUGGAGUUCGGCAGGGGAGACUGGAAUUCCUGGUGUAGCGGUGAAAUGCGUAGAUAUCUGGAGGAAUACCGGUGGCGAAGGCGGCAUCCUGGACCGGCAUUGACGCUGAUGAGCGAAAGCUAGGGGAGCAAACGGG
rnacentral:rRNA from 1 species